rnacentral:rRNA from 1 species
AGAGUUUGAUCAUGGCUCAGGAUGAACGCUAGCUACAGGCUUAACACAUGCAAGUCGAGGGGCAGCGAGAGGAAAGCUUGCUUCCUGUCGGCGACCGGCGCACGGGUGAGUAACGCGUAUCCAACCUUCCCCUUAGUAGGGCAUAGCCCGGCGAAAGUCGGAUUAAUACCCUAUGUUUUUCCGAUGAGGACAUCUGAGCUGGAACAAAGAUUUAUCGCUAAGGGAUGGGGAUGCGUCUGAUUAGGUUGUUGGCGGGGUAACGGCCCACCAAGCCUGCGAUCAGUAGGGGUUCUGAGAGGAAGGUCCCCCACAUUGGUACUGAGACACGGACCAAACUCCUACGGGAGGCAGCAGUGAGGAAUAUUGGUCAAUGGGCGCGAGCCUGAACCAGCCAAGUAGCGUGCAGGAAAGACUGCCCUAUGGGUUGUAAACUGCUUUUAUGCGGGGAUAAAGUGCAGCACGUGUGCUGUUUUGUAGGUACCGCAUGAAUAAGGACCGGCUAAUUCCGUGCCAGCCGCCGC